CACGUAGGGGGCGAGCGUUGUCCGGAUUUAUUGGGCGUAAAGAGCUCGUAGGCGGCUUUGUCAGUCGGGUGUGAAACCUCCAGGCUCAACCUGGAGCCGCCACCCGAUACUGCAAUAGCUAGAGUCCGGUAGGGGAGCAUGGAACUCCUGGUGUAGCGGUGAAAUGCGUAGAUAUCUGGAGGAACACCGGUGGCGAAGGCGGCAUCCUGGACCGGCAUUGACGCUGAGGCGCGAAAGCUAGGGGAGCAAACGGG
rnacentral:rRNA from 1 species